rnacentral:lncRNA from 13 species
GUGAAAUGGGAAAGUUCCCUCAUUUGGGUGUGGAGUCACCAAACAGGGGUGUGGCUUGAUUGUUUGGUCACCCUGCAGCUCACACCCCUAGAGGGAGCAUGCAGAUGGACAGGUGCAGAGGCAAGGGAGAGUGUUUUGGGCUCUCAGCCCCAUGGUAGAAUCUAGGGGUGGGUGUCAGCGACUCCCAAAGCCCAAGUGGACAUGUGUUACGUUGGGCUCCUUUAGCUUUGCCAUCUGCAUAUGGCUUGUGUGUUAAUCAGCUCAGUGGACCCUCUGCCUUAUCACAAGGGUGCGGGAAAGGAGACAAUGAGAAGAAAUGGAAAAUUCAGGAGGAAAUAUGUGAUAUGCCCAGAAGAGAAGGAGGGCAGCAGAGAAACAAAAGUACAAAUAGAGGACCAGACUUGGCCAAAGAUGACAUUUCACCUGCAAGGUGCCGUCAUCGGACAACUGAUUCAUGCCUUAUUUCCCCAUCUGGAAGGUCCAGAAAACAGGAACAUCUGGUAUCCCAAGUAUGUGAGAGAUUUAGAUUAAGUCAACCUACAUACAAUCUGAUUAAAGAACACUGUGAAAAUGUCAAAUGCUAUAAAUAUGGAUAAUAUAGUGAUAGUGAGAAGCAGCUUGGUUAAUUGAAGCCAGUCCUGAGAGCUAUCCUAUAAUUAUGGAGUGAGUGACUGUGUCUGGUAUGCCCUGAAGCAUGGC